CCUACGGGAGGCUGCAGUGAGGAAUAUUGGUCAAUGGGCUAGAGCCUGAACCAGCCAAGUCGCGUGAAGGAUGACUGCUCUAUGGUUUGUAAACUUCUUUUGUCUGGGAGCAAAGUCGGGCACGUGUACCUUUUUUUAUAUUCCCUUUAAAUAAGCCUUGGGUAACCCCUGUCCACGCGCCGCGGUAAUACGGAGGAUUCGUGCGUUGUCCGGUUUUUUUGGGUUUAAAGGGUGCGUUGGUGGUUAAUCCAGGCAGAUGUGAAAGUUUGUGGCGCAAACAUAAAAUUGCCGUUGAAACUGGUGGACUUGAGUAGAUGUGAGGUAGGCGGAAUGCGUGGUGUAGCGGUGAAAUGCAUAGAUAUCACGCAGAACUCCGAUUGCGAAGGCAGCAUGCCAAGGCAUGACUGACGCUGAUGCACGAAAGCGUGGGGAUCAAACAGGAUUAGAUACCCUGGUAGUC
rnacentral:rRNA from 1 species